rnacentral:rRNA from 1 species
GUUGUUGCAGUUAAAAGCUCGUAGUCGAAAUUCUGGCUGGUCCUGUUUCCGGCUUCGGUCGACUCAGGACCUAGUCAUCCGUCGGAGAACCCUUGUCGUCCUUCACUGGUCGCUUGGGGGAACUGACCCUUUACUUUGAAAAAAUUAGAGUGUUUCAGGCAGGCUCUCGCCCGAAUACUCCAGCAUGGAAUAAUGGAAUAGGACUUUCUUCUAUUUUGUUGGUUAUUAGUAGAAAGUAAUGAUUAAUAGGGACAGUUGGGGGCAUUCGUACUUAAUUGUCAGAGGUGAAAUUCUUGGAUUUAUUAAAGACGAACUAAUGCGAAAGCAUUUGCCAAGGAUGUUUUCAUUGAUCAAGAACGAAAGUUAGGGGAUCAAAGACGAUCAGAUACCGUCCUAGUCUUAACCAUAAAGAAUACCGAAUAGGGAUUGGCAGGCCAUUAUAAAACCUGUCAGCACCUCAUGAGAAAUCAAAGUCUUUGGGUUAUGGGGGGAGUAUGGUCGCAAGCCUGAAACUUAAAAGAAUUGACGGAAGGGCACCACCAGGAGUGGAGCCUGCGGCUUAAUUCGACUCAACAGCGGGGAAACUUACCCAGGUUCAGACAUAGGUAGGAUUGACAGAUUGAGAGCUCUUUCAUGAUUCUAUGGGUGGUGGUGCAUGUCCGUUCUUAGCUGGUGGACUGAUUUGUCUGGUUAAUUCCGUUAACGAAGCGAGACCUUAACCUGCUAAGCUAGUCGCCCUUUACACUCAUACGGGGCGACUUCUAUAAGAGGGACUGUUGUGUGCAAGCAACCAGGAAGUAUAUGGGAUCAGCACGU